rfam:Monodelphis domestica chromosome 2, whole genome shotgun sequence.
AAAAGGGCUUUUCUCAAAGCCAUACAGGUAUUUAAUGACAGAGAUG